rnacentral:rRNA from 1 species
CCUACGGGUGGCAGCAGUGAGGAAUAUUGGUCAAUGGACGAGAGCCUGAACCAGCCAAGUAGCGUGAAGGAUGACUGCCCUAUGGGUUGUAAACUUCUUUUAUAUGGGAAUAAAACAGGGUAUGCAUACCCUCUUGUAUGUACCAUAUGAAUAAGGAUCGGCUAACUCCGGGCCAGCAGCCGCGGUAACACGGAGGAUGCGAUCGUUAUCCGGAUUUACUGGGUUUAAAGGGAGCGUAGGUGGAUUGUUAAGUCAGUUGUGAAAGUUUGCGGCUCAACCGUAAAAUUGCAGUUGAAACUGGCAGUCUUGAGUGCAGUAGAGGUGAGCGGAAUUCGUGGUGUAGCGGUGAAAUGCUUAGAUAUCAGUAAGAACUCCGGUUGCGAAGGCAGCUAACUGGACUGCAACUGACACUGAUGCUCGAAAGUGUGGGUAUCAAACAGGAUUAGAUACCCGUGUAGUC